rnacentral:rRNA from 1 species
GUGCCAGCCGCCGCGGUAAUACGAACCGUCCAAACGUUAUUCGGAAUUACUGGGCUUAAAGGGUGCGUAGGCGGCCCGAUAAGUUGGGUGUGAAAUCCCUCGGCUUAACCGAGGAAUUGCGCCCAAGACUGUCGGGCUUGAGUGAGAUAGAGGUGAGCGGAACUUAGGGUGGAGCGGUGAAAUGCGUUGAUAUCCUAAGGAACACCGGUGGCGAAAGCGGCUCACUGGGUCUUGUCUGACGCUGAGGCACGAAAGCUAGGGGAGCGAACGGGAUUAGAUACCCCAGUAGUCC